rnacentral:rRNA from 1 species
CAGCGCGAGAGAGCUUGCUCCUUGGCGGCGAGUGGCGGACGGGUGAGUAAUAUAUCGGAACGUGCCCAGUAGCGGGGGAUAACUACUCGAAAGAGUGGCUAAUACCGCAUACGCCCUACGGGGGAAAGGGGGGGAUCGCAAGACCUCUCACUAUUGGAGCGGCCGAUAUCGGAUUAGCUAGUUGGNGGGGUAAAGGCUCACCAAGGCAACGAUCCGUAGCUGGUUUGAAGGACGACCAGCCACACUGGGACUGANACACGGCCCAGACUCCUACGGGAGGCAGCAGUGGGGAAUUUUGGACAAUGGGGGAAACCCUGAUCCAGCCAUCCCGCGUGUAUGAUGAAGGCCUUCGGGUUGUAAAGUACUUUUGGCAGAGAAGAAAAGGUACCUCCUAAUACGAGGUACUGCUGACGGUAUCUGCAGAAUAAGCACCGGCUAACUACGUGCCAGCAGCCGCGGUAAUACGUAGGGUGCAAGCGUUAAUCGGAAUUACUGGGCGUAAAGCGUGUGUAGGCGGUUCGGAAAGAAAGAUGUGAAAUCCCAGGGCUCAACCUUGGAACUGCAUUUUUAACUGCCGAGCUAGAGUAUGUCAGAGGGGGGUAGAAUUCCACGUGUAGCAGUGAAAUGCGUAGAUAUGUGGAGGAAUACCGAUGGCGAAGGCAGCCCCCUGGGAUAAUACUGACGCUCAGACACGAAAGCGUGGGGAGCAAACAGGAUUAGAUACCCUGGUAGUCCACGCCCUAAACGAUGUCAACUAGCUGUUGGGGCCGUUAGGCCUUAGUAGCGCAGCUAACGCGUGAAGUUGACCGCCUGGGGAGUACGGUCGCAAGAUUAAAACUCAAAGGAAUUGACGGGGACCCGCACAAGCGGUGGAUGAUGUGGAUUAAUUCGAUGCAACGCGAAAAACCUUACCUACCCUUGACAUGUCUGGAAAGCCGAAGAGAUUUGGCCGUGCUCGCAAGAGAACCGGAACACAGGUGCUGCAUGGCUGUCGUCAGCUCGUGUCGUGAGAUGUUGGGUUAAGUCCCGCAACGAGCGCAACCCUUGUCAUUAGUUGCUACGCAAGAGCACUCUAAUGAGACUGCCGGUGACAAACCGGAGGAAGGUGGGGAUGACGUCAAGUCCUCAUGGCCCUUAUGGGUAGGGCUUCACACGUCAUACAAUGGUCGGGACAGAGGGUCGCCAACCCGCGAGGGGGAGCCAAUCUCAGAAACCCGAUCGUAGUCCGGAUCGCAGUCUGCAACUCGACUGCGUGAAGUCGGAAUCGCUAGUAAUCGCGGAUCAGAAUGUCGCGGUGAAUACGUUCCCGGGUCUUGUACACACCGCCCGUCACACCAUGGGAGUGGGUUUCACCAGAAGUAGGUAGCCUAAC